rnacentral:rRNA from 1 species
AGAGUUUGAUCCUGGCUCAGGAUGAACGCUAGCGGCAGGCCUAACACAUGCAAGUCGAGGGGCAGCACGGUGUAGCAAUACACUGGUGGCGACCGGCGCACGGGUGCGUAACGCGUAUGCAACCUACCCAUAACAGGGGGAUAACACUGAGAAAUUGGUACUAAUACCCCAUAACAUCAGGACCGGCAUCGGUUCUGGUUGAAAACUCCGGUGGUUAUGGAUGGGCAUGCGUUGUAUUAGCUGGUUGGUGAGGUAACGGCUCACCAAGGCAACGAUACAUAGGGGGACUGAGAGGUUAACCCCCCACAUUGGUACUGAGACACGGACCAAACUCCUACGGGAGGCAGCAGUGAGGAAUAUUGGUCAAUGGACGCAAGUCUGAACCAGCCAUGCCGCGUGCAGGAAGACGGCUCUAUGAGUUGUAAACUGCUUUUGUACGAGGGUAAACUCACCUACGUGUAGGUGACUGAAAGUAUCGUACGAAUAAGGAUCGGCUAACUCCGUGCCAGCAGCCGCGGUAAUACGGAGGAUCCAAGCGUUAUCCGGAUUUAUUGGGUUUAAAGGGUGCGUAGGCGGUUUGAUAAGUUAGAGGUGAAAUCCCGGGGCUUAACUCCGGAACUGCCUCUAAUACUGUUAGACUAGAGAGUAGUUGCGGUAGGCGGAAUGUAUGGUGUAGCGGUGAAAUGCUUAGAGAUCAUACAGAACACCGAUUGCGAAGGCAGCUUACCAAACUAUAUCUGACGUUGAGGCACGAAAGCGUGGGGAGCAAACAGGAUUAGAUACCCUGGUAGUCCACGCAGUAAACGAUGAUAACUCGUUGUCGGCGAUACACAGUCGGUGACUAAGCGAAAGCGAUAAGUUAUCCACCUGGGGAGUACGUUCGCAAGAAUGAAACUCAAAGGAAUUGACG